rnacentral:rRNA from 2 species
AAACUUUCAACAAUGGAUCUCUUGGUUCCGGCAUCGAUGAAGAACGCAGCGAAAUGCGAUAACUAAUGUGAAUUGCAGAAUUCAGUGAAUCAUCGAGUCUUUGAACGCACAUUGCGCCCCCUGGUAUUCCGGGGGGCAUGCCUGUCCGAGCGUCAUUU